AGGAUUCCCCUAGUAACUGCGAGUGAAGCGGGAAAAGCUCAAAUUUAAAAUCUAAUGGUCCUUGGCCAUUCGAGUUGUAAUUUAGAGAAGCGUCUUCCGCGCCAGACCAUGUACAAGUCUCCUGGAACGGAGCGUCAUAGAGGGUGAGAAUCCCGUCUUUGACAUGGACCCUUGGUGCUUCUGUGAUGCGCUCUCAAAGAGUCGAGUUGUUUGGGAAUGCAGCUCAAAAUGGGUGGUGAACUCCAUCUAAGGCUAAAUAUUGGCGAGAGACCGAUAGCGAACAAGUACCGUGAGGGAAAGAUGAAAAGCACUUUGGAAAGAGAGUGAAACAGUACGUGAAAUUGUUGAAAGGGAAACACUUGAAGUCAGUCGCGUCGAUCGAGACUCAGCCUUGGCUUGGCUUGGCGUACUUCUCGACUUGACGGGCCAGCAUCAAUUUCAUCCCUCGGAUAAUGGCAGGGGAAAGGUGGCACCUUCACCGGUGUGUUAUAGUCUCUUGUCGCAUGCGAGGGGUGGGAUUGAGGAACUCAGCACGCACCUCACGGUGUCGGGGCUUCGGCCCACGUUACGUGCUCAGGAUGCCGGCGUAAUGGCUUUAAAUGACCCGUCUUGAAACACGGACCAAGGAGUCUAACAUGCCUGCGAGUGUUCGGGUGGAAAACCCGUGUGCGUAAUGAAAGUAAAAGUUGGGACCUCUGUCGUGGAGGGCACCGACGCCCGGACCAGACCUUCUGUGACGGAUCUGCGGUAGAGCAUGCAUGUUGGGACCCGAAAGAUGGUGAACUAUGCCUGAAUAGGGUGAAGCCAGAGGAAACUCUGGUGGAGGCUCGUAGCGAUUCUGACGUGCAAAUCGAUCGUCAAAUUUGGGUAUAGGGGCGAAAGACUAAUCGA
rnacentral:rRNA from 4 species